UUGUAAUUUAUCGUAUAUAUUACAUUGUGUUUGUUAAGUAAUCACUCAGAGGGAUAUUUGUACAGCAACGACCUCGCUUCUUUCAGGGUCGGUGUUCGAUCCUUGAAGGUCCAAGUGGUUGGGUACUAUUCCUUCAUUUCGUCCCCCCAAUCCCAGCUCCUAUCCUAUCCUCAUAUCCCAGCUCCUAUUCUCCCUUUGUAUCCCUUCCAUGUUCUAUAUAGUCAUGUUGGCUUAGUGUUGUCUUCAGAUAAUUAUCUCAUCUUUCAAUACUAUCUACAUUUACUAGCUCCUAAAACCCAUGUAGUACACUAGUUAGAUAUCCACACUCUCACCUAUACUGCACUUGUUUUGUUAGAAGUGGCCACAUUGUCGGGUGUGUUUCAGAGGUGGCCAUAUUGUCAGGUGUGUUGCAGAGGUGGCCACAUUGUCAGGUGUUUUUCAGAGGUGGCCACAUUGUCAGGUGUUUUUCACAGGUGGCCACAUUGUCAGGUGUGUUUCAGAAGUGGCCAUUUUGUCAGGUGUGUUUCACAGGUGGCCACAUUGUCAGGUGUGUUUCACAGGUGGCCACAUUGUCAGGUGUAUUUCACAGGUGGCCACAUUGUCAGGUGUGUUUCACAGGUGGCCACAUUGUCAGGUGUGUUUCACAGGUGGCCACAUUGUCAGGUGUGUUUCACAGGUGGCCACAUUGCCAGGUGUGUUUCACAGGUGGCCACAUUGUCAGGUGUAUUUCACAGGGGGCCACAUUGUCAGGUGUGUUUCACAGGUGGCCACAUUGUCAGGUGUGUUUCACAGGUGGCCACAUUGCCAGGUGUGUUUCACAGGGGGCCACAUUGUCAGGUGUGUUUCAGAGGGGGCCACAUUGUCAGGUGUGUUUCACAGGUGGCCACAUUGUCAGGUGUGUUUCAGAUUAAUAUAAACACAAAAUACGUUUAUAUACGUUUAUUGUUAUUGAACAAUCAGAGAUGUGCAGAGAAUACGUCAUAAUAACGGGGGGCUGAAACAGGUAACGCAACACACAUACGAAGUAGAAAUAACAACGUUUCGGUUCGUCAGGACUUGCUUAGGGCCCAGGACCAGGAUGCACCAAGCAUUUACGUGUCCACUGACGAAACCUCUACAUCUUUCCACGAACAUGGAGACUUUGUUUACAUUUAAUAAACAGUGUACGAGCUUGGAUACUUCACAACCCAACUAGUUGUUGGGUUGUUGUUGUUAUAAACAACCUCGUAGUGCUUCGCAACCUAUAAUCUUUUCCCAAAUUCAAAUUUAGCUGCAUGAUUGAGGAAAGAUGUACAGGUUUCGUUAACAGACAAGUAAAUUCCUAGUAAAUCACUUUAGGUCCC